GAUGAACGCUGGCGGCGUGCUUAACACAUGCAAGUCGAACGGUGAACGAGGGAGCUUGCUCCCUCCGGAUCAGUGGCGAACGGGUGAGUAACACGUGAGCAAUCUGCCCUGGACUCUGGGAUAAGCGUUGGAAACGACGUCUAAUACCGGAUACGAGACGCGAAGGCAUCUUCAGCGUCUGGAAAGAACUUCGGUCCAGGAUGAGCUCGCGGCCUAUCAGGUAGUUGGUGAGGUAACGGCUCACCAAGCCUACGACGGGUAGCCGGCCUGAGAGGGUGACCGGCCACAAGGGGACUGAGACACGGCCCAGACUCCUACGGGAGGCAGCAGUGGGGAAUAUUGCACAAUGGGCGCAAGCCUGAUGCAGCAACGCCGCGUGAGGGACGACGGCCUUCGGGUUGUAAACCUCUUUUAGCAGGGAAGAAGCGAAAGUGGCGGUACCUGCAGAAAAAGCACCGGCUAACUACGUGCCAGCAGCCGCCGUAACAC
rnacentral:rRNA from 1 species